rnacentral:lncRNA from 1 species
UCUCUUGUUGCUCCGCCCGUGAGCUUCACGUGCGCCGAGGCUGCUGCUGAGGCGGGGCGGUCCCGGAUUCCUUUCUGAGGGCAUGAGUGGCUAGUGCGAGGCCGCGGCAUAGUAUUAACUGCUUUCGCAAAUCGGUGAGGGGUGUCUCUCCCCUUGGACGCCGUCGCGCCCGUCCGGAAGCUAUGAGCGUGGGCGCUCAGGCAAAGCUACCGCCAGAAGUUUUGGCGAUGAGCUGGAGUCUCCUGGCGCAGAGAGUGUACAUAGAACCCGCAUUGGAAUUGUUUGGCAAAAGGAAUCUACGUGCUGUCUGCGACAACGAGUAGCCACUCCCCAGUGGUUUUGGCCAAGGCUACUCUUGUCCAGUUUUCUUUCAGGUUUCAGUCUAAAGGGGAAAACACUUCUUUCCCACAUCAGAUGUUUCCUGAAGCAUGGAGGGGGUGCCACUAACAUAACACUCAAUACUUUGUUCCAGCGCUUCUAGCAAGUUUCCUGAUGUGGCAUUUGGGGGACAACACCUGACUUUACUGGUAGCCCCACAAGAUUCCACAAAAAAAGUGACUUCUUACCUAAGAGGCUAACCACACGGGCAUGCUGCAGCAAAGGCUGAAUGCAGCUUUCUAACAUGUUCCUUGUACACCAGAUCUCUGCCAAAUAAUGGAGUCUCAGAACUGGAAGGACAAGGCCUGAGAUGUCCUAAGGACUGUAUACCUCAGUGGGUUUGGACUAAACCACCAGAAUGCACAGCCAUCCUGCAUUCACUUCUCUCACCUCUCCAGCAACAUACUAAUAACGCCCAACUCCCGGUGAGUACUCACCAUAGUGCCAAAAACUGAUUUAGUUCUUUGCAUACAUUUUCUCAAUUAAUCUUUACUUGAGGCAGGGACUAUUAUUAUCUUCCUUUUACACAAGUGGCAACUCAGGCACAGAGAGAUUAAGCAACUUGCCCAAGGUCACACAGUGAGUAAUUGGUGGAGCUAGGGUUCAAACUCAGGCCAACUGCUCCAGAGCAUGCACACUUAAUCUCUUUGUUCUGCUGCUGCUGAGUUAUCUGGUUAACACAUCCAGUGACAAGGACCCUGGCAGCCAGGUUAGCUUCCUGUUUAAUGUCUAAUCCAUAAAGAUAAUAUUAUAUAAUGUGAUUAAAAGUUUAAAAAACACGGUAAUUCCCAUCAUGGCUCAGAGGUUAACGAACCCAACUAGCAUCCAUGAAGAUGAGGGUUCAGUCCCUGGCCUGGCUCAGUGGGCUAAGGAUCUGAUGUUGCUGUGAGCUGUGGUGUAGGUCACAGAUGCAGCUCAGAUCCUGUGUUGCCAUGGCUCUGGUGUAGGC